rnacentral:lncRNA from 1 species
GUGCACUCGACUGUUGUGGCCUUUCGUCUGCCUCCUUCACUUGAAUGGGAGCCUCCUGGGGCAGGGGCUGCUCCUUUUGCUGCUGUUGCAUCUCCAGGCCUGCAGCCAGGCCUGCCCCGCAGUGGGUGUCAACACGCUCUGUGGAACGAGGGACGGAAUGAGGGACGUGAGUGAUCUGUGUGGAUGGAGGAGUGACUUGCAAUGGAAGCCUGCCAGCCAAGACAGCUGGGCCCCUGGAAUCAUUUUUUGAGCACCAAAAGAAGAAACUGGUGGCGGGGCGCAGUGGCUCACACCUGUAAUCCCAGCACUUUGGGAGGCCGAGGCGGGCGGAUCACCUGAGAUCAGGCAUUCGAGACCAACCUGGCCAACAUGGUGAAACCCCAUCUCUACUAAAAAUACAAAAAUUAGCCGGGCAUGGUGGUGCAUGCCUGAAAUCCCAGCUACUCAGGAGGUUGAGGAGGGAGAAUUGCUUGAACCUGGGGGGCGGAGGUUGCAGUCAGCCGAGAUUGCACCACUGCCCUCCAGCCUGGGUGACAGUGAGACUCCAUCUCAAAAAAAAAAAAAAAAAAAAAAAGAAGAAGAAGAAGAAGAAACUGGCAACUCUGGCAACUCUCCUAAGAGGGAGGAAGAGAGGAGAAAGGACAGGGCAGGGCGGUGACAAGUGUCCUGGAACGGAAAAAGAAAAAAGAAGAAAAAAAUUGCACCUGUGUAGGAGGAGAUGCUGGUGGCCCUUGGAGUGCCCAUGUGAGAGAAGAGCCAGUUCCAGGAUUCCAGUGAGAGCAGCCAGCUCAGCGUGGCUCAGCAGCGGGGGACAGCCGUCUAGGAAUCCCUGCGGAGCACCCCAGAGAAGGAGCUUCACCUCGGGACCUGGGUCUCAUUUUCAGGGACUUCAUCUCCCUGAAAAGCAAUGCUGCAUCAGACACAGAGACGCCCCGACAGAACGGAAAACAAUAUGCACUGUUCAACAUGAAACUCCCAUUCAUCUCACUGCUGCAUGACUUUGCCUAAGAGUUCAGGAUAAAGUAAUGUUUGCAAAUACAUCCUGAAAUUGCUUUUGUGGGUUAGCAUCAUUAGAUUGCAUUAUGCUUUGGGAUUAAAAGCGUUAACUUUGCCAUGUAGCUAUUUCAAAUAGAUCACAAGCUCUUUUUUUUUUUUUUUUGAUGAUCACCACUAUACUAACGAGGAUCAAAUAGACCACAAGUUCUGCAACCCUGUUUAGAUGUUUCUUCAUUUCAUAAAGUAUAGGUACCAAGAAUCUCAGUACCUCCUCCUCUCCCCCCAGACUUUCUCUUGUUAUUCUGGGAUCAAAGGGGCCUCAUGUCCCCUCUGAGGGACCUUACCCCUAUCAAGCAGGCUGGCAAGCGGGAGAACGGAGGCCUGAGAAGCUGCAACACAGCUACACUGAACUCCCCAGCCAAGCCAUGUGCUUGCAUCUGCCCGUCUACUCCAGAGUGUGAGCCAAACAUCUGAGACUGUGAGAAUUCGGAGAGCUGACCCCAGACGUUGGUUCCAGUGUUGGGAGGAACCUGGGAAAAUCAAGGGAUGCUUUGGUCCUGUCAUUGUGACUGACAAGCAAUUAGAGGUGAAUAUCUGUGAAUAUUUGGGGGUUUAGAAUGUACCUGUUGAAAUGAAAUGCCCCUGGGAUAUGAAAUAACUUUAGCUGUUGGCAUCUAAGACAACAGAGGCAGCUGGACGUGGUGACUCACGCCUGUAAUCCCAGCACUUUGGGAGGCCGAGGCGGGUGGAUCACCUGAGAUCACGAGUUUGAGACCAGCCUGACCAACAUGGUGAAACCCCAUCUCUACUAAAUACAAAAAAUUAGCCGGGCGUAGUGGCGCAUGCCUGUAAUUCCAGCUACUUGGGAGGCUGAGGCAGGAGAAUUGCUUGAAUCCGGGAGGCGGAGGUUACAGUGAGCCAAGAUUGCACCAUUGCACUCCAGCCUGGGCAACAAGAGUGAAACUCCAUCUCCCCCCCCACCCCGCAAAAAAAGACAACAGAGGCGUUCAAUCAGUCGGCCGCGCAGGGAAUCCAGGCCUCCUGCCAGCUACAGCACCAGCUGGGCAGCACCGUGCAUGAGCCGUCUUGGAAGUGGAUCUUCCAGUCCCAGUCGUGCUGGCGCCUUUGGCUGACUGGGCCUUAGCCAACCUCUGCGGGAUCCUGAAGCCGAACCACUGAGGAAGCCAACCAAUUGCAGAGGAAUAUUCUUCAGCUUCUACAAAGAAUCCGGCCUCUUAUUUUUCUUGAAACUUACAGCUGUCUUGGUGUGUCUUAUUUUUUUCCCCUCUUGAUAGAGAAGUGCUACAAAGAAAUGUUUUUGUACUUCAAUAAAAAGACGAAGUAAGUAAAAAGAUAAAUGACAACUGGUUUGGACCUCAUGUUGGAGAUGUGAUAGGGUGUAGAAGGGACUGGAAACUGGAGAGAACAUGCCCAUCCCAAGAGAGAAGACCCGCCUUUCCAACAACUUCCAGUCUUCCAAGUGAAGCUGGAAAUCCACAUUUAA